CAGCAGACACAUUCCAGCCAAUCAGCAGCAGACUCUCCCUCCCACCUCCUCGACAGCAUCCAUUUUGAAGCUGCAUUCUUAGUGAGCUGUCCAGGAGGUGGGAGGGUCUGGGAGGGAGGGUCUGCUGCUGAUUGGCUGGAAUGUGUCUGCUG